GUGCUUGCUUCGGCAGUGCAUAUACUAAAAAAUUGGAAUGAUACAGAGAAGAUUUAGCACGACCCCUGUGCAAGAAUGACACACAAAUUCAUGAAGCAUUCCAUAUUUUU
rnacentral:snRNA from 1 species